AGGUAACAGCUGGUUAGGUUAGGUCAGGUUAGGCUAUAGGUUAGUUUAGGUUAGUCUGUAGAGGUAACAGCUGGUUAGGUUAGGUCAGGUUAGGCUAUAGGUUAGUUUAGGUUAGUCUGUAGAGGUAACAGCUGGUUAGGUUAGGUCAGGUUAGGCUAUAGGUUAGUUUAGGUUAGUCUGUAGAGGUAACAGCUGGUUAGGUUGGGUCAGGUUAGGCUAUAGGUUAGUUUAGGUUAGUCUGUAGAGGUAACAGCUGGUCAGGUUGGGUCAGGUUAGGCUAUAGGUUAGUUUAGGUUAGUCUGUAGAGGUAACAGCUGGUUAGGUCGGGUCAGGUUAGGCUAUAGGUUAGUUUAGGUUAGGUUAGUCUGUAGAGGUAACAGCUGGUUAGGUCGGGUCAGG